AGUGAACGCUGGCGGCAGGCCUAACACAUGCAAGUCGAACGGCAGCACAAGAGAGCUUGCUCUCUGGGUGGCGAGUGGCGGACGGGUGAGGAAUGCAUCGGAAUCUGCCCAUUUGUGGGGGAUAACCUCGGGAAACCGGGACUAAUACCGCAUACGACCUACGGGUGAAAGCAGGGGAUCUUCGGACCUUGCGCAGAUGGAUGAGCCGAUGCCGGAUUAGCUAGUUGGAGGGGUAAAGGCCCACCAAGGCGACGAUCCGUAGCUGGUCUGAGAGGAUGAUCAGCCACACUGGGACUGAGACACGGCCCAGACUCCUACGGGAGGCAGCAGUGGGGAAUAUUGGACAAUGGGCGCAAGCCUGAUCCAGCCAUGCCGCGUGUGUGAAGAAGGCCUUCGGGUUGUAGAGCACUUUUGUUGGGAAAGAAAAGCAGCCGGUUAAUACCCGGUUGUCAUGACGGUACCCAAAGAAUAAGCACCGGCUAACUUCGUGCCAGCCGCCGCAGUAACAC
rnacentral:rRNA from 1 species